UGGGGAAUUUUGGACAAUGGGCGAAAGCCUGAUCCAGCAAUGCCGCGUGUGUGAAGAAGGCCUUCGGGUUGUAAAGCACUUUUGUCCGGAAAGAAAUCCUUGGCUCUAAUACAGUCGGGGGAUGACGGUACCGGAAGAAUAAGCACCGGCUAACUACGUGCCAGCAGCCGCGGUAAUACGUAGGGUGCAAGCGUUAAUCGGAAUUACUGGGCGUAAAGCGUGCGCAGGCGGUUUGCUAAGACCGAUGUGAAAUCCCCGGGCUCAACCUGGGAACUGCAUUGGUGACUGGCAGGCUAGAGUAUGGCAGAGGGGGGUAGAAUUCCACGUGUAGCAGUGAAAUGCGUAGAGAUGUGGAGGAAUACCGAUGGCGAAGGCAGCCCCCUGGGCCAAUACUGACGCUCAUGCACGAAAGCGUGGGGGAGCAAAACAGGAUUAGAUACCCUGGUAGUCCACGCCCUAAAACGAUGUCAACUAGUUGUUGGGGAUUCAUUUCCUUAGUAACGUAGCUAACGCGUGAAGUUGACCGCCUGGGGAGUACGGUCGCAAGAUUAAAACUUAAAGGAAUUG
rnacentral:rRNA from 1 species